rnacentral:lncRNA from 1 species
CAAGAGUCCCCUGAAGAGCUUCCCUGGAACAAGGGCCUAGGAAAAAUCAGUAUUACAUCCAAAGGAGAGAAGGCACCCCUGAAGCCAGAGAUGGACAUGCAUUCACGGACACACAGUCAAAUUGAGGGCUCUAAAAGAUCAGGAUGUAACCUCUUAUCCCCAUGCCUGCCUGCCUGCCUGCCAACAUGCUUCCUGCCUUUGUGAUCAUGGACUAACCUUCUGAAA